AAGAGUAGGCGCAGGCGGUUGCAGGUUGUUGAGGAUCUUCCCCAAUGGCCUGAGGAAAGUCCGGGCUUCCCAAAGACCAGACCUGCUGGGUAACGCCCAGUACGGGUAACCGUGAGGAUAGUGCCACAGAAACAUACCGCCAACGAUAAAGUUAUGAGUUCUCAGGUUUGAGUUUUGAAUUGACUCAACACUUAAAACUUAACACUCACAACUUUGUUGGUAAGGGUGCAAAGGUGCGGUAAGAGCGCACCAGCAGCAUCGAGAGGUGCUGGCUCGGUAAACCCCGGUCGGAAGCAAGGCCGAUGGAACUAUGGUUGGUCUUUUACCAGUUCCGUGCAGAAGGAGGAUUCCCUUCUGCCAGUCCGCUAGAGGCGUUUGGUAACAGGCGCCCCAGAUAGAUAACUGCCCUUCUGGUGCCGUGCAUUCGGAAGAACAGAACCCGGCUUACGUCCUGCUCUUUCCC
rnacentral:RNase_P_RNA from 1 species